rnacentral:ncRNA from 1 species
GUCGCCGGGGGAAGGAGGGAAAUGGCACCGGCGACGGGGCGGAAGUAAAGGCAUUCAUCAGCAGUGGUAUCCGUCAGACUAAGCCUCCACUGCACAUCUAACCGACUAAGGAGC